rnacentral:rRNA from 1 species
UACAGAGGUCUCAAGCGUUGUUCGGAUUCAUUGGGCGUAAAGGGUGUGUAGGUGGCGCGCUAAGUCGGGUGUGAAAUUUCGGAGCUUAACCCCGAAACUGCAUUCGAUACUGGCGUGCUUGAGGACUGGAGAGGAGACUGGAAUUUACGGUGUAGCAGUGAAAUGCGUAGAGAUCGUAAGGAAGACCAGUGGCGAAGGCGGGUCUCUGGACAGUUCCUGACACUGAGGCACGAAGGCCAGGGGAGCAAACGGG